UACGUAGGGUCCAAGCGUUAUCCGGAAUUACUGGGCGUAAAGCGUGUGUAGGCGGGAGUUUAAGUGCAAUGCGAAAUCUUGUGGCUCAACCAUAUAGACUGUAUUGCAUACUGGACACCUUGAGGAUGGCAGAGGCAAGUGGAAUUUGUAGUGUAGCAGUGAAAUGCGUAGAUAUCAAGAGGAACACCUGCGGCGAAGGCGGGUUGCUGGCCGACACUGACGCUGAGGCGCGAAAGCCAGGGAGCGAACGGG
rnacentral:rRNA from 1 species